AGCAGCACAGAGGUGGCAUCAUUCAUAUGUGGAUGCAGACUGAUUGCUGGUUGAAGAGUUACACAAUGUGCAGGAUGAUGACUCCAGCUGUGGUCUUUGUCUUGUUGGCUGUUUUAGGACGGACAAGUGGCCAGUGUGAUUCUAAUAUUGCUCGAGGUGGACGAGUGACUCAGUCCUCCGUGUUGGAUGGUGGGGUCCCUGAAAGGGCCAUUGAUGGAGAUAGGGCAAGCGUCUGGAAAAAAGGGUCCUGCACCCAAACAAACUGCCAGACAAAUCCAUGGUGGAGA